rnacentral:rRNA from 1 species
AGAGUUUGAUCAUGGCUCAGAACGAACGCUGGCGGCAGGCCUCAAACAUGCAAGUCUAGGGGGUGUAGCAAUACAUCACCGGCGGACGGGUGCGUAACACGUGGGAAUAUACCUUUUGGUUCGGAACAACGCAGGGAAACUUGCGCUAAUACCGAAUGUGCCCUUACGGGGAAAGAUUUAUCGCCAAAGGAUUAGCCCGCGUCCGAUUAGCUAGUUGGUGAGGUAAUGGCUCACCAAGGCUCCGAUCGGUAGCUGUUCUGAGAGGAAGAUCAGCCACACUGGGACUGAGACACGGCCCAGACUCCUACGGGAGGCAGCAGUUGGGAAUCUUGGACAAUGGGGGAAACCCUGAUCCAGCCAUGCCGCGUGAGUGAUGAAGGCCUUCGGGUUGUAAAACUCUUUCGACGGGGACGAUAAUGACGGUACCCGUAGAAGAAGCUCCGGCUAACUUCGUGCCAGCAGCCGCGGUAAUACGAAGGGGGCUAGCGUUGUUCGGAAUUACUGGGCGUAAAGCGCGCGCAGGCGGUCUUCCAAGUCAGUGGUGAAAGCCCGGAGCUCAACUCCGGAACUGCCAUUGAAACUGUAAGACUUGAGGACGAGAGAGGUGAGUGGAAUUCCCAGUGUAGAGGUGAAAUUCGUAGAUAUUGGGAAGAACACCGGUGGCGAAGGCGGCUCACUGGCUCGUAUCUGACGCUCAGGCGCGACAGCGUGGGGAUCAAACAGGAUUAGAUACCCUAGUAGUCC